rnacentral:rRNA from 1 species
ACUGCGAAUGGCUCAUUAAAUCAGUUAUCGUUUAUUUGAUAGUACCUUACUACUUGGAUACCCGUGGUAAUUCUAGAGCUAAUACAUGCUAAAAACCCCGACUUCGGGAGGGGUGUGUUUAUUAGAUAAAAAACCAACGCCCUUCGGGGCUCCUUGGUGAUUCAUGAUAACCUCUCAGAUCGCACGGCCUUGCGCCGGCGACGGUUCAUUCAAAUUUCUGCCCUAUCAACUUUCGAUGGUAAGGUAUUGGCUUACCAUGGUUUCAACGGGUAACGGGGAAUUAGGGUUCGAUUCCGGAGAGUGAGCCUGAGAAACGGCUCACACAUCCAAGGAAGGCAGCAGGCGCGCAAAUUACCCAAUCCCGACACGGGGAGGUAGUGACAAUAAAUACUGAUACAGGGCUCUUUUGGGUCUUGUAAUUGGAAUGAGUACAAUUUAAACCUCUUAACGAGGAACAAUUGGAGGGCAAGUCUGGUGCCAGCAGCCGCGGUAAUUCCAGCUCCAAUAGCGUAUAUUAAAGUUGUUGCAGUUAAAAAGCUCGUAGUUGAAUCUUUGGCCUGGCUGGCGGGUCCGCCUCACCGCGUGCACUUGUCCGGCCGGGCCUUCUCUUCUGGAGAACCGCAUGCCCUUUACUGGGCGUGUUGGGGACCAGGACUUUUACUUUGAAAAAAUUAGAGUGUUCAAAGCAGGCCUUUGCUCGAAUACGUUAGCAUGGAAUAAUAGAAUAGGACGUGCGGUCCUAUUUUGUUGGUUUCUAGGACCGCCGUAAUGAUUAAUAGGGACAGUCGGGGGCAUCAGUAUUCAAUUGUCAGAGGUGAAAUUCUUGGAUUUAUUGAAGACUAACUACUGCGAAAGCAUUUGCCAAGGAUGUUUUCAUUAAUCAGUGAACGAAAGUUAGGGGAUCGAAGACGAUCAGAUACCGUCGUAGUCUUAACCAUAAACUAUGCCGACUAGGGAUCGGGCGGUGUUAUCGAUUUGACCCGCUCGGCACCUUGCGAGAAAUCAAAGUGU